rnacentral:rRNA from 1 species
CUACGGGGCGCUGCAGUGGGGAAUCUUAGACAAUGGGGGAAACCCUGAUCUAGCCAUGCCGCGUGAGUGACGAAGGCCUUAGGGUCGUAAAGCUCUUUCGCUGGGGAAGAUAAUGACUGUACCCAGUAAAGAAACCCCGGCUAACUCCGUGCCAGCAGCCGCGGUAAUACGGAGGGGGUUAGCGUUGUUCGGAAUUACUGGGCGUAAAGCGCGCGUAGGCGGACUGGAAAGUUGGGGGUGAAAUCCCGGGGCUCAACCCCGGAACGGCCUCCAAAACUAUCAGUCUAGAGUUCGAGAGAGGGGAGUGGAAUUCCGAGUGUAGAGGUGAAAUUCGUAGAUAUUCGGAGGAACACCAGUGGCGAAGGCGGCUCACUGGCUCGAUACUGACGCUGAGGUGCGAAAGCGUGGGGAGCAAACAGGAUUAGAUACCCGAGUAGUC